UGCGGUAGUUCUUCCUCUGGGCCUUGUAGGACUCCUUUCGAUUGAGUUUGGCGGCAUCGGCAGCGGACUAUAAGAAUGCCAGAGAUCAAAUAACAAUGGAAAACGUUCAAAUACUGGGAUAUUUUCAUGGAUUCAGGCGGGUCUCAGGCGCUUGGUGCUCUCACGUCAAGAGUCUACGGAAAAUUACUCAAGGCAGAGCUGUCAAAAGUUCUUUUUGGAGAAGCAAGGAAGCCCGAAACUCAAGUGUUAAUCUAAUUAACAUUUAUAAUUCCAAUGAAAGUAGAAAGAACAAUGUGUCAUAUCCAUUCCAUGUUGCACGUGGCAUGUUCCAAGUCCAUCGAUUACAAUAAAUAUCAGACCAGACCAGACCAGA
rnacentral:sRNA from 1 species